rnacentral:rRNA from 1 species
UUGAACGCUGGCGGCAUGCUUUACACAUGCAAGUCGAACGGUAACAGGCCUUCGGGUGCUGACGAGUGGCGAACGGGUGAGUAAUGCAUCGGAACGUACCCAGGGGUGGGGGAUAACGCAGCGAAAGCUGUGCUAAUACCGCAUGUGAUCUGAGGAUGAAAGCGGGGGACCGAGCAGCAAUGUUUGGCCUCGCGCCUUUGGAGCGGCCGAUGUCGGAUUAGCUAGUUGGUGGGGUAAAGGCCUACCAAGGCGACGAUCCGUAGCUGGUCUGAGAGGACGACCAGCCACACUGGGACUGAGACACGGCCCAGACUCCUACGGGAGGCAGCAGUGGGGAAUUUUGGACAAUGGGCGCAAGCCUGAUCCAGCAAUGCCGCGUGCGGGAAGAAGGCCUUCGGGUUGUAAACCGCUUUUGGCAGGAACGAAACGGUGUCCGCUAAUACCGGGCGCUAAUGACGGUACCUGCAGAAUAAGCACCGGCUAACUACGUG